UACGUAGGUGGCAAGCGUUGUCCGGAUUUAUUGGGUUUAAAGGGUGCGUAGGCGGCUUUGUAAGUCAGUGGUGAAAUACUCUAGCUUAACUAGAGGGGUGCCAUUGAUACUGCGGAGCUUGAGUACAGAUGAGGUAGGCGGAAUUGACGGUGUAGCGGUGAAAUGCUUAGAUAUCGUCAAGAACACCGAUAGUGAAGACAGCUUACCAAGCUUCAACUGACGCUGAGGCACGAAAGUGUGGGGAUCAAACAGG
rnacentral:rRNA from 1 species